GACGAACGCUGGCGGCGUGCUUAACACAUGCAAGUCGAACGGAAAGGCCCUGCGUUUGUGGGGUGCUCGAGUGGCGAGCGGGUGAGUAACACGUGAGUAACCUGCCCCUGUCUUUGGGAUAACAUCAGGAAACAGGGGCUAAUACCGGAUAGGAGCUCCUGAUGCGUGUGGGGGUUGGGAAGAUGCGGCGGUUGGGGUUGGUUAGGGGGGUUACCAGGCUGCUGGAGGGGGAGUGGAAUACAAAGGCUUUGACGGGUAGCCGGCCAGAGAGGUCGACCGGGCACAUUGCGACUACGGUACGGCCCAGACUCCUACGUGACGCAGCAGGCGGAAAUAUUGCACAAUGGGCCGAAGCCUGAUACAGCAACCCCGCGUUCGGGAUGCCGGCCUUCUGGUUGUGAACCUCUUUCGCCUGUGACGAACCGAGAGUGACGGUAAUUGGUAAAGAAGCACCGGCUAACUACGUG
rnacentral:rRNA from 1 species